UUGCCAGACUCCUACGGGAGGCAGCAGUGGGGAAUAUUGCACAAUGGGGGAAACCCUGAUGCAGCGACGCCGCGUGAGUGAAGAAGUAUUUCGGUAUGUAAAGCUCUAUCAGCAGGGAAGAAAAUGACGGUACCUGAUUAAGAAGCCCCGGCUAACUACGUGCCAGCAGCCGCGGUAAUACGGAGGAUGCGAGCGUUAUCCGGAUUUAUUGGGUUUAAAGGGUGCGUAGGCGGGCUGUUAAGUCAGCGGUAAAAGCCCGGGGCUCAACCCCGGCGAGCCGUUGAAACUGGCUGUCUUGAGAUGUCGAGAGGUAUGCGGAAUGCGCAGUGUAGCGGUGAAAUGCUUAGAUAUUGCGCAGAACUCCGAUUGCGAAGGCAGCAUACCGGCGGCGAUCUGACGCUGAGGCACGAAAGCGUGGGUAUCGAACAGGAUUAGAUACCCCCGUAC
rnacentral:rRNA from 1 species